UAUGUUUUCCAAUUAAUUAGAUAGAGUAUUAUUAAAAAUAAAUUUUUUUUAUUCCUGUCAACAAACUAUGUUUGGUGGCACAGUCCAUGGUUUUAAGAAGAACAUCACUAAAUUUCACAGAAACUUAAAAUUUUGAUUCCUUUAGUUUAUUAAAAUUAAAAUAUUUAUAUUUUCAACCAUAAAAUACACAAAAAAAAUUACUCAUUGAAAAACAUACAGACAAACAAUAAAAUACAAACUUCUAGCAUCUAAAUGUUGGCCUUCUGAACAUCUGAU